rnacentral:rRNA from 1 species
AUACGGAGGGUGCAAGCGUUGUCCGGACUUAUUGGGUUUAGAGGGUGCGUAGGCGGAUUAUUAAGUCAGUGGUGAAAGUUUACGGCUCAACCGUAAAAGUGCCAUUGAUACUGGUAGUCUUGAGUACAGUAGAGGUAGGCGGAAUUUAUGGUGUAGCGGUGAAAUGCAUAGAUACCAUAAAGAACACCGAUAGCGAAGGCAGCUUACUAUACUGAGACUGACGCUGAGGCACGAAAGCGUGGGGAGCGAACAGGAUUAGAUACCCUGGUAGUCCACGCUGUAAACGAUGAAGACUCGCUGUUAGCGAUACACAGCCAGUGGCCAAGCGAAAGCGUUAAGUCUCCCACCUGGGGAGUACGAUCGCAAGAUUGAA